rnacentral:lncRNA from 12 species
GGAAAAAGGGCCACCACUGGUGCUGGCAGGAGGAGAGGACAGCCUGGAGUUCUUUACCAUCAGACUCAGAGGAGUAGUUGCCUGCAUUGACUUUCUGAGUGCUAUCCAGUUUUCACAUGGUACAGUUAGCCGCAGUAGCAGCUUGUUAGUUGAAAGCAAAUGUCCUCCCAAGAGAAGAAGCUGUGUGAGUUGGCACAUGGACAGACACGUAGGUGAGUGCCCUGUCUUGCACAUCACGUAGAAUCUCAUGUUCUCUUUACCUCAAUCUAUGUAUUCA